rfam:Lupinus angustifolius cultivar Tanjil chromosome LG06, whole genome shotgun sequence.
GACUCUAGGCAACGGAUAUCUCAGCUCUUGCAUCAAUGAAGAACGUAGAGAAAUGCGAUACUUAGUGUGAAUUGCAUAAUCCCGUGAACCAUCGAGUCUUUGAACACAAGUUGAACCUGAAGCCAUUAGGUCGAGGGCACGCCUGUCUAGGUGUUG